rnacentral:rRNA from 1 species
GAUGAACGCUGGCGGCGUGCCUAAUACAUGCAAGUCGAGCGAACAGACGAGGAGCUUGCUCCUCUGACGUUAGCGGCGGACGGGUGAGUAACACGUGGAUAACCUACCUAUAAGACUGGGAUAACUUCGGGAAACCGGAGCUAAUACCGGAUAAUAUAUUGAACCGCAUGGUUCAAUAGUGAAAGACGGUUUUGCUGUCACUUAUAGAUGGAUCCGCGCCGCAUUAGCUAGUUGGUAAGGUAACGGCUUACCAAGGCGACGAUGCGUAGCCGACCUGAGAGGGUGAUCGGCCACACGGGAACUGAGCCACGGUCCAGCCCCCUAGGGGAGGCAGCAGUGGGGAAUCUUCCGAAAUGGGCGAAAGCCUGACGGAGCAACGCGGCGUGAGUGAUGAAGGUCUUCGGAUCGUAAAACUCUGUUAUAGGGAAGAACAAAUGUGUAAGUAACUAUGCACGUCUUGACGGUACCUAAUCAGAAAGCCACGGCUAACUACGUG